GUGGCGGACGGGUGAGUAACGCGUGGGUAACCUGCCUUGUACUGGGGGACAACAGUUGGAAACGACUGCUAAUACCGCAUAAGCGCACAGCUUCGCAUGAAGCAGUGUGAAAAACUCCGGUGGUACAAGAUGGACCCGCGUCUGAUUAGCUGGUUGGUGAGGUAACGGCCCACCAAGGCAACGAUCAGUAGCCGGCCUGAGAGGGUGAACGGCCACAUUGGGACUGAGACACGGCCCAAACUCCUACGGGAGGCCAGCAUG
rnacentral:rRNA from 1 species